UGGUAGGUACAGAGGGCAGCUACCCAGCGAUGGGGUGCGAAUCUCGAAAGCCUAUCUCAGUUCGGAUUGGAGGCUGAAACCCGCCUCCAUGAAGUUGGAUUCGCUAGUAAUCGCGCAUCAGCCAUGGCGCGGUGAAUACGUUCCCGGGCCUUGUACACACCGCCCGUCAAGCCAUGGGAGCUGGGGGUGCCUGAAGUUCGUGACCGCAAGGAUCGACCUAGGGCAAAACCGGUGACUGGGGCUAAGUCGUAACAAGGUACC
rnacentral:rRNA from 1 species